rnacentral:tRNA from 1 species
CCGGGCGCUGGCCGGCGCGGGGCCGCCGACUCCGGGCCUUCGGCGCCCGGAUCCUCGGCCUCGUCCUGCUGUUCCUGGCGCUCUGGUUCGCUGCGGCCGUG